rnacentral:misc_RNA from 1 species
GUGCAACUCUCUAAUAUGCUGCUGCUAUUGGAAUCGAAGAUCUUGACCUCCCCUGAGUGGCUGCCGACAGCAAUUCUCGAGUCCCCCAGGAAAGUAAGACAGGUCAAAAGAGCACUAGCAUCAUCCCGACAAGUUCGCCAAGGCUUAAACCUGCUGUAGACAAACUGGCGAUCCCUACGAUUUCCAUGAACACCACCAUAU